AUCAAUUUUUAUAAUUAUAAAAAUAUUUUUUUUAAAAAAAUAAUUAUAAAAAUAGACCUUUAAAUGCGGUGAAUGAUUCACCGCAUUCAUAACUCCUUAUUAGGAGUAGAAAAAGAAUAAAAACGGUGAAUGGUUCACUGCUUUUACCACCGUAGAAAUAUAGAAAGAAGUGAGAAAAAGAAAAAAAGCGGUGAAUGGUUCACCGCUUUUAAA
rnacentral:lncRNA from 1 species